rnacentral:tRNA from 1 species
CGGAGUUUAGUUAAUAUUAUAACAUAUGCUUGUCAAGCAUAAAUAAUCUAUUCCAGAUAUCUCCCA